GCCCGCGCGCGCCGUCCCGGGGUGGGGGGCGGUGGAAGGGGGAACCCAGGAGGGGCGGCGCCCGGUCUUCACCCGCAGCGGGCACGGCGGGGGCCGCGGGGGGCCUCGUUGGUAUUCCGGGCGCGGUUGCAUCCGCGACCUCCCCGCAGAACAGGGGUGCCCGGGCGCGCGGGCACCGCCGCCGCUCUCGGGCGGUCUCCGCGGGCUGCGGGGCCCGCAGGCGCCUUGCUUUCCCCGUCCCCUCCUCCCUGGGUUCCCCGUACUCCCUCCCCCGCUCCGAUCCGGCGGCGAAGGGGUGGGCAGGGAAACGCGCUCUCUGGGACAGGUGCCAACUCCGAGACAAAAGACAUAAAAUAGGCGGCAACGGGGGAAGCGCGGCCGGCGCGCUCGGGCGGGGACGGCGGCGCCGCGGGGGCCGCAUCCUCGGUGCCGACCCGGGAAAGUUUGGGAAGUCGCUGCAGCGGCUUCGCAGCGGCGGGGGACGCGCGGCCCGGGUCGCCCUCCGCGCCGCGCUCGCCCUCUCCGCGCCGCUGCUGAAUAAUUCAUGGCGCGGCCGCCGGCCAUUAGCAUGCACCGGGCGCGCGGCGCGUCUGUGCCAAGCCGCCGCCGCAUUCGGCGCCCGGGCAGCGCCAGACGAGCGGCCGCGCGGCGGCCGGGCCCACGCUGUCCCCGCGCCCGCCCGUCCGGCGGCGCCCAUUGUGCCCCGGCCCGCCCCGCCGGGCUGUCCCCAAGCCCGCCUGCAACCCACCGCCCGCCCGACGGCCCGGCCCUGCAAGUCCUGGCUCGCGACGCCCGCCCCGGAAUGCACGUGAACUUGGAGAAAGUCGCGGGGCGCGCCGGCCGGGCUCUCCGCGGCAGGGCGUGGGCGUCCCGGGGCCGGCGCGCUUUCGUUUUCGUCUGGGACAAAGGUCCCUUGCGGCGCGCGGACGCCGUGACCGGGUCCUGCGGGCCACUCUGUGGCGCAGUCGGGUCGCUAAGCGCAGGGAAGCCGGAGCCCGAAGGCAAGGAGAGACGCGGCGCGGGGCCGGGGAAGUGGGGCCUGGGCCCUGCGCUUCGCCAGCGGCAGUCCAGAGCCGUCCCACCCUGCGAAGAGUUGCGGGAACUGGCACCGCUCUGCCGUCCGCCGCUUCGACGCGGGAAGAGGGUGAGCGUUUGGAACCCAGGACUCAGACCGCUAGCUGAGGGCCUAUGCAGCUCUGGGCACGCGAGCGCGGCGCCGGCGGCGGCCAGGCACGGUCCUCCCGCAAGGGCAGGGCUGUCGACCUGUGCGCCCCAGGUCACGAUCGGGUUCACGGCGACUCCUGAGGACGGUAAGUGCAUUUCUCACUUUCGCUGCUUAGUGAGUAUUUAAAUAUUAAUGAAGGGAUCUCUAAGAGGGACCCUUCCGUAGGGCAGGCCUUCCACAGACCAGGGAACGCACCGAGGAGGUUGCUCUUGAACCUGAAGCCGCACCAGCUUGCAAGAACUCCACUCGGCAUUAAUCUGGAUCUUGGAAUUUGUGAAGCACAGCUUCUAAUCUCAGGUGUGCAGGCUAUUUGCCAGAGAGAAUCUUGUUGAACACAUAAAAUAAGCGUUAGCAGACAUCUUAAACACAAUGGGAAGAAAAGAGAAAACAUCUGUUUUUAGAAUUUUUUUUUUUUUUUUUUGGUGAGAUGUGUUUGGAAAGGUUAUUGGGAAGCUACAACUCUUUCUUGGAAGAUUGGAAUAUUUCAUUUACUUCCUAAACCCACGCUGCUGAUUUUUUCCCCCUGGUCGGACACUUGAGGACAGCUGAUUUAAAGGGGGGAUCCUCGGUUCGGCGUUGGCGGCAUUUGGGCCGGUUCAGUGAAAGGCCCUUGUGUGAAAGCUGUUGUUUACGGUGGUGUAAGACGAAAACCAAUUCAUAACUUUUUGUGAUAAAUGCCCCUUUAUAGGUGCCUCACACAGGCCCAGCCAGUGGCCCUGGGGAGUUUGUGAGGAGCAAGAAGGGGGUGAAGGAAUGCUUGCUUGCAAUGAUUAUAGGGUUUCAAGGUAACGUGGAGAUUAAUUUUUUUCAAAGGUGGGUUUCAAAAGCCGAGGCAGCCUGCAGGCCAGCAAUAGCUUCAUUUUAUUGGAGUUCAUUGGCUCUAGCUCUUUGGGGUUUUAAAAUACGUGUUUGUCCGUGUGUGUACGGAGCUAGGGUUAAAAUGAAACCCCGAACUGUGGGGGAUUGAGCCUGCUCUUUAGUAUGAUUGUGUUACAGGUGCAAUGUCCCCCCUGCCCUCCCCACCUUACUGAGGUGGUUUGGAUAAUCUUGCUGGGUGCUUUCACCACAAAAUAAUGGGGGGCCUGUUUCCAUAACACCCCAGGGCCAUGAGCUGGCUCUUGGAGGCUGUGUUUCUGGGAACAGGGACAGAGGCCUGGGUAGUCCAGGCUUGCCUCAUGCCUCCCUCCCCCUUGGCUGCCUAGUGCCCUCCCCAAAAACCCCAAGGACUGAGGGGACCAUUUCAGUCGGGUCCAGCCAGCCGCGGCCGGAGGUGGAAAGUUUGCCUCCGUGCUGGAAGAACUAACCUUGGCCGUCUUUUUUGCUGGGCUGCCUCUCCCAUUGCCCCCUUGCUCCAUUUUGGGUUUUUAUUUAUGACUUUAUCAGAGGCAGUUAGCAGACAUGAAACCUGGGGUGGGACAUUCGGGGGCGAUCUCAGAAUCGGGGCGCAGCUGCAGAAGACAUGCCGUGAUAGCCGGGAGCUUCUAGUUGGCAUGGCGUUGGCAGUGACGAGGUUGGUAAUUAGAAGAAGCUCAAGUUCCACCGGGGCCUUGCCUGUAAAAUGCUGGAGACGUUUACCCGGAGGCCACAGCAGACUGGGAACAUAGCACGGAGGGCAGGCAUGGUGUGGCACUCUCCUGAGGCUGCAGGGAGUCCCUCUGGAUUAAAACAGAUUCCGAAACAAGCGGUAUCCAGCUCUCCUGCUCCCACAGGCCAGACUCGGGGCUAGCCAGGGAAAGGCCUGAACGUCGGAGGAGGCAGUCUCCAGGGCCGCCAAGUGAGGGCUGCUAUUCAUCAAAGCUCCAGAGCCCUGUCUCCUGCCACACAGUGUGGCCCUGGCCCAUGAAAUGGGAUGAGGUCAAGAUUCUGCAGCCAACAGUCGCGGCCAGCGCUGGGCACAGAAGCCCUGGCGAGGCCCCGUCCUGCCUUUGUCCAUGUUCCUUAGAGCCAGCUCAGCCUGACAGAGUCUCAGGGUCCCACCAGGGGCUUCCCAGUGGUGUUGGAGUCUCCCAUCCCGGCACAGUUCAUUUUUGAGGGCACACACACAAAAGAGAAGGCUCUGAAAAUGAAACUGACACUUGUCUGUUUUUUUAAUCGCCUCUGGAUUUAACAUCAAGAAUGUGGAAAGCAGUGGCCCAGGGCCACAAGGACUAUGGUGUGGGCUGGUGGAAGGAUGGGCCCCGGUUUUUCUGGUUUUGUUUUAAACCAGGGCCUACCCCAGGAUAGUCCGUCGCCUGUGCUGGGGCCUCACCAGGCCCCAGACCCUCCUGGGUGAGAAGGGUCUCCAGGGUGCUGAUGGGGACGAGCUGGGCUCCACUUGGGCCGUGCCCCUCUGCCAUGGUGAGGUCUCGUGCACACUGCCUGAGCAGGUGCAGGCCAGCAGUUUGCCUUGCUCCGCAGCAACAGCGUGGUGCUUUGCAGCAGGGUUACCUUUUGUUAUGUGGUUUGCACCUGGCUGGGUCAGGCUGUCUGUGUGAACCUGUCUCACUCCCUCCGACCCCCUAAAGGGCAGUGGGGCCUUUCCUACCUAGCAUGGAUGGGGUGUGACUGGAAGGCAGACCGUGUGGCCCAGGAGGAACUGGGAAGAGCUCUGCCCACCCAGAUGGGCACCCUGCCUGGGCAGGUGCUGCCUCGUGUCCAGGGGAACCUCUCGUGCAGUGUAGAUGCAUGCCUGUGCUGAAGGGCGGCCUCUGGGAAGGGAGGGGUCCUUCCAGGCCGGGCAGGAAACACCAUAAAGCCACCAUGCUUCCUUGGGGUGUUGUCGUUGGGUUUUGAGGGUUCUUUGCAUGUUUGGGGAGAGAGGAGAAUGCUCUUGCCGAAAUCGCAGCAAGCAGGAGUCUGAGCACCCUGAGCUUCAGUCUGCCCCUGCCCCUCCCUGGGUGACCCUGGCACAUCUGAGCUCCUCCCUCCGCCUGGAUUCUGAGCUGUAAAGCGGGAAGAGUGUUAACCCACCUCAGAGACUUCAAACAUUAUUUCCAUAAAGCACCAUUCCAGGCACGUUGUCGGGGAGGGGCGGGACAUAAAUGGCUACUGCUGUUGUCACUUAUUGUUGUCAACAAUAAUCACUGUUGUUGUUUAAUUUUUAUUUAUUUUACUUACCACUACUAUUAUUUUAUAUAUUGUAUGAUGUUAUAUUCUAAGUAACAGAUAACCCAACUUCGGUCUCAUCAGAAAAUGAACCAAGAAGUUUACUCUCCCGGCCCCACAGGUGGGAGCAAAAGUGGACCUUGAUGAUACCUCCCAGGUAGACUGGCAGGAGGUUGCAGAGCCAGCGCUUUCCUCACCACAGGGACUUGGUGUGAAUGUGGCUUCCAGAUGCAUCUUGCACCUCACAUUGGGUACACAAGAUGAGACCAGGGUCUCCUUGGGGACCCGGGAAGUGCUGACGGAGGAGGCACUCCUUCCCAGGGACAGGACGGAAAGCAUGCCUGGGUGCUGGCCCUGGAUCUGACCUUCCCCCCCCCCCCCCCCACUUCAGGGGCAGGAAAGAAGGGGGCAGGACGUCCUGAUGCAGGGGCCCAGAGCAGCCACACCAGCCACCAGCGUCCUCGCUGGAAAUGCAGAUGGUGAUUUCUUGGGAGGGUUUCACCACUCUGACGAGCUAAUUGUUCUUUGGCCUGGUACGUUAACCAAAAUGCUUGCUUUGGUGAAUUUUCCCUCCUAGCUGGUCGUUCAGGAAGACCCAGCAAGAUCGUCCUUGCUGAAAACAUCUUGUCGGAAUAAGAGAGAGCUCUAAAUGGCAUGGGUCAUGCUUUCUGAUGUUAUAGAACUGAGUAGGGAGAAAAAGCAACAAUUGUCUCCAAGCAGAGACAAUGGAUCUUUCAUAUGAAAUAUUUAUUUUCAGGGCUGCCCACUGUUCCCUGGGCUGGGACGGUCCGUGGAGCUCGAGCAUCUGGGAAUGGCAAGCCCCAAACAUGUAGUUGGGGACAGAGAUUUAGAGAAGAAAAAAGAAAGUCUCCUGACCCGUGGUUCUUGAACAAUUUCACUGGGCACGUCUGGCUUUCUUUGUCGAGUGGAGGCUAAGCUUGCACGAGUUAAUUUUGUUUUCUUCCGUGAUUUUUUUUUUUUGAAAGCCGCAGGACUGCACUUGGCGAGUGCUAGAAAGACGGCCACGUUUGGGAUCGUGGGCCGGAUGGGGCCUCCAUCGGCCAGGCCCAGUUGGCCUUAGCCGGCUGGGUCACAAAAUGGAAGUGUGAGGAAAAAUAGAGCCCAGAAGAGGAAGGGUCUGUCCCCAAAGGGCUAAGGGAGAGGCCAUCGAGAGGGCGAUUUGGGCCAAUAUUUGUGGUUUCCCAGUGUCUGCUCCUCCCCAAAUUCCAUUCUCAGAUGAACUUGGGAGUGGCCCGUAGGUUGUGGGAGAGUCUGGCCUGACUUGGUGAAGCCACACACAAGCAAACACCCUUCCAGGCUGGAGAGGGUGUUUUUGUAACUCUGACAAAUGUGGCCCAGAGUUAUGGCUCCGUGAAUAUUUUCUGAAUCGACAGAAUGAAGAGGCCUACACAUGAGCCAUCCCCUGGUCCCUUCUCUGAGGUGCUGGAGGAGCUGCCCCGGGGAAGCCAGGCCAGAGUCCACGCUCCCGUUAGCAGAUGUGGGAGGAGUGGGCCGUGCUGGGGCCGUAGUGAAGCAAUCUGUGGUGCUCGGGGAGCGUUGGGAAGGCUGAGGUGGCCCGUCGGCUGGGGACACCCGGCACAUUACGGGGACCUGUCUGGACACCCCAGUGACACCUUGAAGGAGGACAGAUGAGGGAGUGGCCCUGAUCAGGUGGGGGACCAGGGUCACCCAAGCAGCUUUCUUGGCCAGUUAUAAUAUCUGGCUUCAGAAAUGAGGUUUUAUUUUUUCGUCAAUCGGCUGUCACGUUUUAUUUUUCUUCCAAUGCCAGAGCUUCUCAGCUUGGCCCCUGUAGCCCCGUACGUUAGCCCACUCAGAAGAGAGCUCUUUCAGGGUGUCCAGGAGCCUCUGACACUAUAGGUAGAAUUGGUAUAAUGGAAAUCAUGAAAAAGAAUGAAAUUUUGUGACAAUGGGCAGAAAAACCCCAAAACCAGGUUUCUAGUCACUUUUUUGUGCGUGAUGGGAGGCAGUUUGAAAGUAAAACGAAAAUCGGGGAUGGGAAGCUUCUUGGUGGGGUCUGGACUGGGGAGUCUCAUCUUUCUGACCACCCAGGAACCUGUGUGGAGAGAGUGGCUGGGCCACUGUCCAGCCAGCGCCGAGAGGGUUUCCGAGUAGAGAUGUUACCGCAGGGUCACCGGUUAGUGUCGUAAAAUAAGACUGGUGGUUGUGGUUAGUAAAUGUGUGCAUGGGAUCUACACGGUAAAAAGGCCAAACAAUUUUUUAAGCAGUGAUAGAAUUUCCCUCCAGAUUUAAAAGGAAUCGUCCCUGAUGCUUCUGGCUUUCUAAAACCGGGGCGGUUUAUUUCCCCCACCCCCGCCCCGUGGAACGCCCUUUCCUUCAUUCUGGCAUUUCAGAUGGCAGGAAGAGCAUGUAGCUGAAAUAUUUACCUGCUGAUUUGGGGUUCUUAAAUUUAGAAUCCCCUUUCAUGUGUUUAAGAGAGAUAUUUACAUUCAAAUCAGCCUUUUAUAAUUACAUUUUAAAUUAUAAUAAAAUGAUGGUGCCGGCGCUCCAGUUUUCCGUGUAUUUUAACGGUAAGAGAAGCUGCCGUGAAUUGAAUGGGGGCUACCCAUCACCCAGAGUCCCCGCUGCCCACCGUGUGGGUUCUGGCCUGCCCGGGCACACAUGUGUCCUGAGCAUGGCAGCUACAUGGGUGUUACCUGUGGGGCCCUCCCCGCACUGCCGGGAGAAGGGCCUGACGGGGAUUCUGGCCCCACACAGUGCAAUGGUUGCCCAGCCUCACCACCUGCAGCUUCAUCUGAGAAGGGCCUGAUACGGCCUGGGGUCCAGGCCCACUGCCCUCAUGUCCUGAGCCCCACAGUGGCCUGCAGGCCUGGUUUGGAGGCCAUUAUCUCCUCGGCGGCCGGCCGGGCACAGCAGUGGCCACUUCUGGUCGAGGCAGUUCUGUGGGUGAGGGGCGAGCAUCGCCUCCUGCAACCGUAACCCAGGCCCUGCCUCCCCUGCCAUGCCCCUGUGGGUCCCAUGGUUGCCAUCUCGUCCUCAGUGGCUUCCCGAUGUUGCCUGCUGGCAGGGCAGGCCCCGUGCCAUGGAGCAUGAGGGACCCUUCCCCUCCCAGGGCCAGGCUUUUGGCAGCCAGGCCAAGCCGCUGCUGGAAUGGAAUUCCCGGCGUUCCUGGUGGGGCGCAUGGCAUCGGAAUCCUACCUGCUUUGUCUCUGGCAUCAGCUGGUGAGCCAGUCACGUGGCCGUGUGCGUGAGACCAGAGCCCAGGACUGAGGGCUCCUCCCGGGCGCUUCCUCAUCGCUCACUCACCCCCACCCCCUUUUUUUGGCUUUCAGCAGGACUGGCUCUGAGCAGGCGUAAAACAGUGUUAAAACUGAAUCCGGGCAGCAGGGAGCUCCUGUCCACGGCGGCAGGCUCUCACAGUCCACCGGGCUCUCGCGGUCCACCCAGACCACCCUUUACCUCGAGUCCUUAUGCACAGAAAGGCCCUGAUAUGUCCCAUACACUCAGGAGUUAGGCCCAGAGCUGGGCAGUGGUCACUCCACGCCAUUCCCUCUGGUGUAGAGCUGGCCCUGCCUGCCCCCAGUCGGCCGUGGGGUGGGUGACACCGCUUCCUGGGGAACCCCUUCCCACACUUCUAGCCUUGUUUCUCACCCACACAAGGACACCCCCGUGGUCACUGCUGCAGCUCCCGGUCACAGAGGGUGAGAGGGGAGAGCUGGACAAACAGGUGACCCAGCAGACCCAGCCUGAUGCCCGCAGGAGAGAGCAACGGGGUCUGAUAUUUUGUCUCCAAAUGAAAGAGCCACAGUGAAACCCCAGGCCUGCCAACCCCAGUUGUAGGGCCAGAGAACAGGGAUGUUUCCCUGAGGCGGUGGCAAGGUUUGGUUUGGUGAAAACGAAGGAUUUGUGAGGGUCUGAGAGGGGAGGGUGACUGACCUAGACUCCACCCCUGGCGCCCUGUCCACCGCGGCUGGCUGGCCACUCUCGGACCCCUCGGCGUCGAGCGCUGACUGGGUGCCUGCCUGGGGCUUGGGGCUCUGUGCAUGUUAAUUCUGCCACUCCAGCAGCCCUGAGUGGGAGGAGCCAUUGUCCCCCUUCUUUCUAUAGAUGGGGAAACUGAGGCAGGUUUGCCCAUGGUGAAGUGGCCAGUCAGACACAGGGCCAGAUUGAAACCUGCAGCCUUGGCUCCCGGCUACAACAGCGCCAGCCUCCACAGGCAUUAGAAGGGGACUCACUGCAAGGGCCCCAGCCAGGGCAGCUUUCAGGGUGGGGUCUCUGGCCUCACCCUGGGGAAACGGCCGGGGCGCUGGCUGCCUCCUGCUGAGCCUGGCGUGGGAACAAUGUGGCCUCUAUCCCUGGAGCGAGCCAGGCCGCCUGGACGCCCAGCCCUUCAGAGCAGCCCGGCCAGGCAGGCGCCCACAGCAUGGCGCCCACAGCAUGGCGCCCGGGCCGCGCUGUCCGUCCACGGGGUGCGGGCGCCUUGGCCAGGCCCGGGCAGCCGCUCCCCGUGUCCUCCCUGGCCGGCCACUGAGUGGCCAGACGCUGGCUUCCUCCUCCCUCUCCCGCCCGGCCAGCCUCCUCCUUUUUUGGUGGUGGGUUUGGGGGCCCAGCCCACCCGCCACUGCCACGUCUGCCAUCCUCCCGCACCCACGAGCAUCUUUCAAAAAUUCCCGGUGGGCGGGGCUGAGCUGCAGCGGCCGCCUCUGCCCCCCCUCCCCGGGCAGCCAGUGCCAGAUGAGAGCAGGAGACAAAAGUAGCAUUUUCCUCGUACUCCGGGGCUGGCAGCGGGGCCUUCCCCCAGCACCACAUGGCUCCUGGCAGCCCUGCCCCCUGUGCCGGGGUGGCCGAGGCCCAGCCGGGCCCACUGGACCGAGGGACGGCGGCGGCCAGAGACUAGGGGGCCCGUGGGCCCAUAGCUGGGGCUGGCACCGGGCAGCCUGCUGGCCGGCGGGACCUGCCCUCCUCCCCCACCCGGGUGACCGGCUGGGCCCAGGGACGUCAUUUUCACUUCCUGGCUUUGGAGAAGGCGCCUCCAUCCUCCGGCACCUCGGGUAAGUCACCUUCUUUCCUUCUGUCGUGAAGACGAGCCGAGGGUGCUGCCAUCUUGUGCCCCGGUGCCUGUUACGUGUCCUCCCUCUAAUUGGUUCUCCAAACUCAGAAUUCUAUUUCAGAGCCCUCCAUCUUCCGUGCAGGAAGCCCUGCCAAAAACUGCAGGGAAAAUGCAGAAGCCAAGCCCAUUUACUUUCAAGAUCCAAAGCUACAGGCUUUAGAAAUCACAAUAAAAAUGAAUGUUUAUUAUUUCACAGUAGCUGCGCCUUCCAUUACAAUGGGAACAAAUGCUUUGGGAGUAUUAAUAGCCAUGGCCUACUCCUGCCUUCCUGGUUGUGGCAGUUUGUGUGGGGGUCUCAUUAUUAUUAUUAUUAUUAUCGUCUUAAUUUUUGGCGGCGCCAGGAGUGGCAAAGGGAAAACCACCAGGACCAUCCACGGCUCCUCCCAGCAAACUCAUCGGCAGGCAGGGCCAGGCUGGCACCCGGGAGGGAGGACUUUGCAUCUAGAAACAGAGGCCCUUUUAUUUUGUCCGGCAUCUUUAAUGCUACCAUGUCCACAGUUUAGGGAUCUAGUUCUUUCUCCCUUUCGUUUUAUUUUUUGGAAAAAAAAAAAAAAAAAGAAAAAGGAAAAAGAAAGAAAGCUCCUUUUGGCCCUCAGCUCAGUGUGGGGAAAAAUAUUUUCGGUUGUUUUGGGCUUUGUUUUUGAGCACUUAUUUCAACUUGGGGGUUCCGCCUGAAAGUGCUGGGCCCGUCUUGUCACCACCCUGCCCGCAGACUGUGUGUGGCGUGCACGUGGGCACCGUUCACUACACAGACCCUUGGGGAAGCCCUGAGUGGCCUCAUGGCCUGCCCGUGUCCUGGAUCUCACCCCAGUUCCUCACCUGCAGAGCUGUUGGGGGAGACACCCAGGUCGUCCAGGGCCUGAAACGUGGCCGGCAGGGCUGGGAGUCCCUCAAAGACCUUUGAGUCCCCCCCGCCUUGCCACCUGUGUUCAGGAGCUGGGCUCAGUGGCUGCCCGGGUGUCCCUGUUGGUCCCUGGCCCUCCAAAAGUGCUGAUCCUUUUGAUUCAGAGGUGGGCUUUGCAGAGCACAGCCCCAUGUCCACCUCCACGCUGUGGCAGGCUGACAAAAGCGUCCUCGGAUGCGGCCUGGUUCCCCACCCUUGAGGGGAGCCAGGGUCUUGAUAUAUAGAAAAUGGAAGAAUCAGACCCGGAAAGUUCUAAACGGCACUGAGAGGAAAACUCCCAUGGAAAUCCAUCUUUGUUUUCCCAGUUCGGAGGCGCGUGGGCCCUGCGUGCGCGGGCCUCGGUCUGAGCGGCCGGCCUCGGCAGACAGCACCAAAUCUGUAAACGGAGCUAAGCUCACACGAGGACUCUCGGCGGCUGCUUUUGUUCGUAGAUGAGCCAGCAGUCGAUACUGGAGGGUCUGGGGCUGCAGAAACAGGCAUAUAUAGCAGAGAUAAUUAAAACAUUUCAUGAUUAUGACAGCCACAUUCUGCUGCUGCAAGCUGGAGGAUUCAUGCCACCCAAAUAUUUAGCAAGCAUCAAAUAAAACACUGGUGGCAAAAUAAAAGUAAUAGAAAAAAAAAACAGAGCGUAAUACAUUUCAAAGGCAAAAGAGUCAAGGGGAUGGAUAGGGAAUGGGUCGGGGGAAAAGUGGGGAGAGUUCAGCAUUUUAAAAGAAUUCACAUGUUUAAUAGCUGGCCACUCAUUUUUUUUUUUUGGUAUAAUUAAUGUAGGCAAACAGACCCUUAAUUCUAAAUCCUGGAAUGAGAGAUGGUAAAAUUUCCUGAUUAUUAAUUUAUCAUUUUUGUUUUUUGUACAGGGUAGGGGCAAGUAGCAGAAAAAUCAAUUAAUUCACAUAAAGGAACAUUUUCAUUCUAAAUUAAUAUUGCCACUGCAAUUAAAUUUAUCUAGUAUUUUUAACAUGUAUGGAUAACACACUUUCCUGUGUACACCUUGGAUAGCUGGGACCGUUAUAUGUGAUCAACUAUCAUCUUAGUUUUUUCGCUUGGUUAACACUUCACCCCUCCCCCCACCUCAAAAUCAGUAAAAUGCUGUGGAUUCUGCUCUUUAAAAAAAUCAGGCCAAAAUCUCAGCAUUCUCCAUGGCUCCCAGUGCUUCUCGGCAGUUUUGUUUUUUUUUUUUUUUUUUUUUUUUGAAGAAAGUACCACGCAAAGCACUUUUCACAUCAUCGCUUCUAUAUAAAUUCCACUAUAGACUGAAAUUAUACAUUCUCGCAGCACAGAUGGGCUGGUCUGUCAUUACGGCUGCUGGGUACUUGUUGGAACACACAGCAUAUUUCAAUUGUGGAGUCGACAAUUUCGAAGAACUGGGGUCAAAAUAAACAAGUUGCAUUUGUGUAUAGAAACAGACUUAUUCAAUGAUCUUCUCAUCCCCUGGAAAAUUCGGCAGAGGAACGAUCAUCACCUUCAUUAAACUUGAAUUUAAUUUUUGGUCUUCAUUUUUUAAGACCCCACGUGCCCUGUGUCAAAGGCCCAUCAGUGUUUUAAUUAAUUACCAAUUUUUCUCUUAUGCUGCAGCGUUAGCAGUGGAACACAAGAUUUAAAUUCAAACUCGUGGGUGUGGCUUUUCAUAUCUUUUGACUUUAAUUUUAACAUCUUAAUAAUUUUAAUAUCUUACUAAUCUCUAUAGGGGCGGUGUGAAACCUCUGUUCGGUGUUAAGUUGCAUAUUAUUUUGAGGCCUUUAUGAAAAAUCAGAUGAUUCGUAUUUAGGAUGGUCUAAAGAUACAUUUAAAUCCAAACACCACCCACAAAAAAACUCAGCAGGUAAAAUACAUAGAGUAGCCGUAAACUUAAAAAUUAUCUCACCAAGAUAACAAAGUGCAGAAUUUAUUGGUUUGUAUCAACCUCCUUGAGGGCAGAGCAGUUUUUACAGCCACAAUAAUUUGCAAAUGAUGAUAACUGUUUAUUUUGCAAAUAUGCUCAUAUUAUGAGGCCAUCAGUGGAGGCUUCUUUCUUUUCCCAUACGUGUAAGUGUUUGCCUCUGUGUUUCUAAAUUCUGGAUUCAGGCUCUGCAGUUUCUCACUGGCUGAGACCACGUUCCCACGUUCCUGCCUCAGUGGCAGUGGCCGGGAGGAGGGAAGGGCGCGCCCCCUGUGUUGCCUCCUGCGAGCUCCAGCCGCCACAUCCAUUUGUUCAUAGAAGUGUUUUGUUGUGGCUUGUUUAUUUUAAGGGAUGUACCUGUUGGUGGAGAUGUUAGCAAAUCAUAAGAAAAGUAAAAAGUUGAUGAAAUUCGCCAGAGCCGCUUGGGAGCCAGCUCUGCUGUCUGGUGGUUUUAACGACGUCAUCCCUUCCAAUUCUGGUCUUUUAGCCUAUUGACUCCUGCCUCCUUAGCAAGAGGGAUAUGGCCCUGGUCUGGGCGCUCUGAAAGAUGAGGCAAAGUGAAAAGGCCCCAGCCUCUGGGCCGCAGAGCCUCUAAGCAGAGGUGGGCAUGGCGAUGGUGGUAAUAGUAGCAACAGCACUCUCUGCUGCUGUUGACAGGUGCCCGCUGUGUGCCGGGGCUCCUGCAUUCAGAAAAGCACCGGCUCUGGGACCCAAGGUCUCGGUUCAGAUGGAGUCGUCUUUGUUUCCAGGCCGUGUUGAUCAAGGGCAAGUCAUUUCACCUCUCUGGCCUCAUUUCCUUAUCUGUAAAAUGGAGGCAGUAAGUGUCAACUUUCUGAACACAUGGAAAGCUGGGUUCAUGGUGAGCACCCCAUAAAUGCUAUUGCUUCCUUGCCUUAUUUCUAAGGCUCAGACUAUGCCUGCAAGGGGGCAUUUUCAUCACCUCCAUUCCACCGGGGGAAGCAGCGAACCUCUGAGAGGCUAAGUGGGUUCCCCAAGAUUCAACCAGCUGAUAAGUGUUGGGCCAGGGCUUGAACCCAGCCCUGCCAUCCUUCCAAGCCCACGUGCUGCCAUAGCAUUCACCGACGCGUGUUGCGGCACACGUGUGCGUGGUGCCCCGGGUGUGGACAGCAUGUUGGUACGCAGAGGUGCAGAGGUGUGUGUGUGUAAUGUUUGCACGCGUGCAUAGGUGUCCUCUUAUUUCUCCAUUGCGUGAGGUUCCUGGUAGUCGGCAGUUUUGAAAGAGGUGAGCUGGUGUUUGGAGGUGCAUUUGUCGGAGUGGGCCACACAGUCCUCAGACCACACCUGGGGAUGACUGUGCCAUGGGCUCUCCACCACCCCAGGGAUGCCCGUGGGAAGAAGGGUGGUUUUCCCCAGUCCAGGGCUAGCCAAAGCCGGCAGCAGGUGGACUGGGCAUCCAGGCGUGGGCUUCUCGUAGGUGCUCAGCACUGCUGAGGGAGGCUCUGGCUGAGUGGCCUGCAUGCUGGGCCUUGGCCAGACGCGCUGCUGCCUCCUUAUGUGGACAGGCGGUUCUGGGCGCCGGCCAUUUGCAGACUGGGAGGAGUGGAAGUGAGGCCUGCGGGCCCCGGAGAGGAAAUGGCGGCGUGGGCAGGCCCAGAACAGGACCGGGAAGGCGGGCCGAGGGAGGGAGUGGCCCAGAAGGCCUCUGUCAGCCGGUCAGCAUGCUAGCGGCCUUUCUCCAAGAAGCGGCCAGCUGGCCAGGCCUUCCCGGGCAGGUCUGUCUGCCCACAUGCACACACGUGCACCUGCGUGCCAGGGCACGGGGAGGUUUAGUGGCCUUAUUUCCUAAUAGGGAACAUAGCAGGGCCUGGGGUUUGAUGAGACGGCGUAACACCCAGCACACCUUCAGACAAAAGAGACCGUGAUAAAAACGGUUCUUACUACAAGGUCCCAGCUUCUGUCUUUAAAAUGGGGCUUCCAGCCUCCGCCUCAGUAGAUGGUUGGAGGCACUACAUGAGAUCCUGGUCUGGGGAGCCCCUGGUUCGUUGGUGUUUCCCUUGCCUUGGCCUAGUAAGAGGGGACAGGAGGCCCAGGCUCUAUGGUGGGCCUGUCUCAGCCCAUUUCAAACCCUACCCACUGCCUUCCCAUGACCUUAACAGGAUGGCAUUACCCAGCACUCGCCCAGAUGCCAGGGUGGCACCGGGUGAGUGGCAGUUUUGGGUGGUGCUGGAGAAGGGUCCAGGCAUCGGCUGGUAUGAGUCUCUGGGUUUCCGAGCUUCAAGGAGGGCUGGAUUCAGGGUGUGGGCCGGGCCAGCCGUUCCGGCAAAACCCCAGAAGGAAUCCACAGGAGGUGGGGACCGGGAAGGCAGCCGGGUUGCGCCAGUGCCUGCAAGGGAACCUCUGGCCCCAUUUCCUGGGAGCCUGACCCCGCCCUAGGAUUCCUGGAGUGGGUGUGCCCACGCUUCCGGCCCAGACGUGGGUGGAGGGAUCCCACCCUGCCAGGCCUCCCGCCUGUGCGGCUUCUUUCAACUCGUUGAGAGGAGGACUCCUCCUAGGCCUGGUGCUUCGAGGUCCAGACGAGCAGACACUGGCGCCUGUGACCCUGCAGCGGACGCCCUUCAAAGUCCGCGUGGCAGCGUUUGGAAGCCUGGGCGGCGUGGAGACGGCACCUUCAGCUUGAGAUAAACGUGGCCCCGUCCCAGAGCACCACCCGAGACAUCAGGAGCCCAUCGUGGGCUAGGGAAGACCUUCCGGGACCUCACGGCCCAGGUCUUCCACUCUUGGCCACCUCCCCAGGUGAUGCCUGAAGCUCAAGGGACUGUGUCCACCCUCAGGCCCUGCCCGUGGCUCCGGAUCGGCGGUCCCCAUCAGAGGCCUGGGCUGAGUCCUCAGGUCAAGAAGUGGCGCUGACCUGGAGCCCCUGCCUGGGGCUGGCCUUCCUCACAGUGAGCUGGGCCUCCUGCCAUCCUGGCUCUGGAGGGCAUCUGAGUGAAGAGGCACGCUCAGCCUCACCUUCACACCCUGAAGACUCACUCUCUGGCCCUGGGCUCUGUUGUGUGCACCGCCUGUCUGCAGGGCCCAGCCUGCCUCGAGCACUCCCUGGGGACAGAAGCUCCUGCGCUGGCCUCUCCUGUCACCUAGCCACCGGGCAUCCUGGAGUGCAGCCCUUAUGCCCCGAGGCCACCUGCCAUCGCCCGGGAUGACUCAAGAUGCCACCUGGGUAAGUCUAGCCCAGAACGAGAAAGGCUGAAUGAGGGAAACUGAGUCACAUCUGCUUCUCCCAGGUGGGGCUGGGGGCCCAGGGGGAGGGCACUUGUGGCGACCACCAGGGUGGACUAGGGGCCUGUCUCCCAUUCUGUCUCUGCCACACCUUAUAGAGCCCGACCUGUGGGCUGGGGCCCCCUAUGGUGAGCACUGCAGGCUCUAGGAGGCUGAAGUCCUGGCCUGGGGGACCUGUGGGGGCCAGGCUGGGGCCAUUGGAAUCAGUGUGGUGGUCCCCACCUGCACUCCAGCUCCGAUGGCUGAUGACGGGGGCCCUGGCAGCUGACCCCUUGCCUCAGUGGGGAGACCACGGCUCACGAGGGCGUGAGACCUGCCCAGAGCAUAGCCCAGAGGCCAGCCUGGAUUCUCACAGCUCCGCCCACUGGGCUGUCCUGCCCCACCCUCUUCUUAGCCUGCUGGGACCAUGAGUCAGAACCCAGUAGGUGUGAGGGGACCCAGCCAGCCCAGGUGGCCAGUCCAGCCUGAGGGGGUGGGGGUCUCAGAGACUAAGUCAGGAGCCCAGAGUGCGUGCUUAGGGUGCAACCCACCCCACAGCCUCCCCCAAGGCACCUCCCGGGGGUGCAGAUGGGGGCAGACGCAGGGACACUCAGGGUGGACCACCUGACUGGGAGCUGAUUAUGAGGUGAGCGACAGCCUGAGUCAGCCUGAGCUCAGAGGAGCUGGGAUGGCCUUGAUCUUCCCCCUCCGGCCACUCACCACAGCUGGGAGGGUCCAAGGAGACCCUCAGCCACUGUCCCUUCAGCCCCCACCCCACCCUGGCUGGCUCUGCCCAGACACUCCUUAGGGACAUCUUGGUCCUGCCCACCAGCCAGGGGACCCAGAAUUGGAGCAGGGGAACAGGACCGCCAGACCCUCUCAUACCGCUUUUGUUCUGAGGCCUUGAGGGAACAUGGGGUCUUUGCGACCGCAGGCCAGAUGAUGCUGGGACAGAGGAGGGUCGGGCUGCAUUGGGGCCCUCCUGGUCCCCACUCUUGGGUGAGUCAGCAUCUCAGUCUCCAGUUCUGGGUGGGUGGCACCAGGUGUGAGCCUCAGUGGUCUCCUUGCUGGCUAAGGACCUGGGAUUUGCUCCAGUGCCCCUCGGGAGGGAGUAGGACACAGUGCCCAGAGAGCAAGCAGACCCCCUCCCCGACCAACUUCUGAGAGCAAAGACACCUAGAACUAGAGAUUCAGCACCCCCUGAGCCUCAGUUUCCCCAUUAUGAAGUGGGAUCCGUGAUCUCAGCCUCACCAGGGCUGAGAGGAUUAAAUGGUCCAGCCCAGCCUGGGGUCUGCCUGGAGUAGGCAGCCUGCUCAGGACGGGCUGUGGAAGGAGGGCUGGGGUAGACCUUUCAAGUCCACUUGGGCAUGGGGAGCUGAGAGCUAGCAUGCCGUUUAACUUGGCAGGAAGCAGGCCGGGCGCAGUGGCUCACGCCUGUAAUCCCAGCACUUUGGGAGGCUGAGGCGGGCGGAUCACGAGGUCAGGAGAUCAAGACCAUCCUGGCUAACACGGUGAAACCCCCUGUCUACUAAAAAUACAAAAAAUCAGCCGGGCGUAGUGGCGGGCACCUGUAGUCCCAGCUACUCAGGAGGCUGAGGCAGGAGAAUGGCGUGAACCCAGGAGGCGGAGCUUGCAGUGAGCUGAGAUCGCGCCACUGCACUCCAGCCUGGGGAACAGAGUGAGACUCCGUCUCAAAAAAAAAAAAAAAAAAAAAAAAAGAAAGCUUGGCAGGGAGCAGAACAUUUGGAACUCACUCUGCUGCCCCCCUUGGCUGUGUGACAUCCAGGUCACGUUGCCUCUCUGGGCCUCGGUCUCCUCACCUGUUUAAGAGGGGUUGACAGUCGUACCUGCCCCCUCAGCUUUUCCCCAGGAAGGUGGUAGCCACAAUUAGCAUUUGUUGAGGCUGACCCUGCACCAGGCCCAGGAUAGGCGGGGCUCAGGGAGGCCCGUCUCUUGCCACGUUCCCCUGCUAGGGGAGCCCCGAGGCCCUCUCAGUGUCAUCCUCAUGCUACACUGUGUCCCAGCCCUGUGAAUCCCAAGCUAAGUCACUGAGUGUGCCAGCACCCGCAGGGACAGGCACUGGACCCUGGGUGGACCUGAGGGUCUGUGACUGCCCCCCAGCUGCUCUCCCCUAGAGGCCACUUCCCUCAAGGAAGGAAAGAACCUUCCCGCCACCUCCUGCAGUACGGUCAGCUCAGGCCUCAAGGAAGGAAAGAACCUUCCCGCCACCUCCUGCAGUACGGUCAGCUUAGGCCAGCCUGCACAGCAGGGCCAGAACCGGAGCCCCUGGGGAGGGAUGCCUGCCUGCCCAGUGGGAGGAGACAGCACGCCCGUGAAGCUGCUACUCAGCCAGCCUGGGGGCCACGAGUGCUGCUUCUGGUGGUGCUGUGCGGGGAGGGAGGGGGCCGAGCAGGGUGGGCACUCGCACGCCUGUGUCUUGCUGGCCUUCGACAGAUGACAGCCCUCCUCCUAGGGUCUCCAGUGCAGAGUUCCUUGGGGACAUUAUGGCCACUCCUGUCCAGAUGAGAGGGAGCUGGCUGCCUGUGACAGCGUCGCAAAAUGCCGCUAGGGCUUUCCCUCCCUCCUCCUUUCUCUCUUCCUCGUCCCUCUCUGGUUGGUGGUUUCCUGCAGGCUCCUGUCCCUGCUGGUGCUGGCCACAAUGUCCCCACUCCCAGGGUUUCAGCGUCCCAGCCCCCUGCACCCACCGUGCCUGCCCGCCAGAAUCCCUGUGCCUUUGGUGCCUGUGGCCUGCCGAGCCUUAAGCCUCUGUUCUCCUCAGCCCUCUUUCCUCCCCCGCCCCAGGAGGUGCCUCUGGAAGCCAUGGAGUCCCAUCGGCACCAAGACCGACUGCCCUUUGGGGUGAGGUAGUAGGUUGUAUAGUUUGGGGCUCUGCCCUGCUAUGGGAUAACUAUACAAUCUACUGUCUUUCCUGAAGUGGCUGUAAUAUCUGCGGUGGACAGAGCGUCUGGAACCCUGGCUGGGAGCGGGCAGGGGCAGGUUUGGGGGCAGCUUUGGCAGCAGCUGGGGGCAGGGGCCGCCUACACUAAGAAGUCUGACAGGCCUAGGUUCCACUUGCUGUGUGACCUUGGACAGGCCCCUGAUCUCUCUGGGCCUCAGUUUCCUCCUCUGUAAAAUGGAGGCAAAUGAGGAUGGAAGGAGAUGCGGUGUGGAGCAUCGUGGGCAGGAGAGCUGAGCCGACCCCACCCUCUGCCCCAGCCGCACUGAGAGAGGCGAUCCAUGCAGCUGUUUGUCUGACCUCUGUCUCCCAACACUCCCCAACACUCCCCCUGCCAUCAGGCCCAGGCUCAUGGGUGGCCCUGAGCCGUACCCUCCACUGAGCACCAGGAGAAGGCACCAUGGGGCCAGGGGUGGCCGAGACGUUUGGAGGUCACAGGGCUGCGAGUAUUUGUGUUGCCCAUCACCCCAGGUUCCCAGCAUGUGCCCCAGCCUGGCCAGCUCAGUGGCAGGGACUCUGCCUGUGGAGGAAGGGAGGCCAAGGCACCUUUCCUGAGCAGGAAGUGAGAGGAACAGCUCUGCAUACACUGGGUCGCACAUGGCACAAUCUGAAGGCAGACAGUGGCUCCUCUGUACCUGGGGAAACUGAGGCCCAGAGAGCCGGGGGCUUCCCGAGACCAGCCAGCAGCAGCUGCCCCUUCCUGGGGUGACAUCUCCCCUGUCCCUCCUGCCCUGCGCCUGCCCAGCCCUCCUGCUCUGGUGACUGAGGACCGCCAGGCAGGGGCUGGUGCUGGGCGGGGGGCGGCGGGCCCUCCCGCAGUGCAAGGCCGGGCCUGGCGGGGUGAGGUAGUAGGUUGUGUGGUUUCAGGGCAGUGAUGUUGCCCCUCAGAAGAUAACUAUACAACCUACUGCCUUCCCUGAGGAGCCCAGUGACACAACCCCAUGGGAGGGCCGCCCCCUACCUCGGUGACACGACCCCACGGGAGGGCUGCCCCCCACCUCGGUGACCUGCAGGGGGUCUGAGCCGAAGCUGGGUGGGCAUCUGGGAGCUAGAUUCAAUAAAGCUGUUCUGACCAUGAA